AGCGAGGCUAAGCGAGUGGGGGGAAAGUUUCAGUGCAUUCCGUUGAUGUAGACGGCGUGAAAACGGAAACAAGAAGUAUGCCGGCUCACUGUGCUGCAUACAGUUACACACUACGUCGUACGAUUGAGACAAGGAAACUCGGAAUGACUUUUCAUAGGUUUCCCAGAGACUAUGGGUUGAGGAGGAAGUGGAAGUUUGUCGGCUUAGACCUGGUGUCAUUCCAUCAGUGUUAAACUUCCCGGCUCAUCUUGGAAGAGUACGUGCCAGAAAGACCACGACCAAGCAGCCUUGAGAUCUUAGGCAGCGUCUCCCUGAGACCAAAGAACUACAGACUCUUCACAACCUGCUCAAACUCUUGGUACAGGACCUCACCACACGGGUCAAGAAGGUUUCCAUCUCAUUUCUACUCUGAAGCUCACCUUCUCCUGCUCAAACUGCUGAC
ensembl:lncRNA